AAUGUAGUAAUGAGCACAUUUUCAUGGUUCAAAGAGCCCACUCCAUUUUACUGCCAGGAAAAAUGAAAAUGAUAAAGUGGAGAUUUUGACCAGUUUUUUGAUCAAGUAUUUCCUCUCAAUUUCAUAUUUCCUUAUUAUAGUUUAGUAGUUAAAUGUGGGACCAGUGCAGAGAGACAUCUUGGACUCAUAUCUUGAAGUUUUAUUUGGACAGUCAGGAGAGAGGGGGACUUAUAACCAAAAAACUAAAAAGAAGAAGAAAGUCAAAGGCAUGAUGUGCUGCAGGGAGCAGUCUUUCUCUGGCAGAAGAUGAGCUAAAUAGCCUAAUAGUUUUUUUUUUCCAUCUGUAUUUCCUAUCGUCCUACUGCGAGCAGAAAGAAUUCGGAUCCAGCUGAUCUCUCGGGUGGGGGGUGGAGGAGGCUGCCUGCUCCACUGCCUAGCAUAGGCAGCAGAGAAAGCUGAGGAGAACAACACCCCUGCUGCAUUACCCCUGCUCUGCAGGAUCCCACCAAGCAUUUUCGCUGGCUCUUUGCAGUGCUGGAUCACCACCAGGCUGCAAGAAAGAAGGAUCAGCCACUGUCUAGAGCACUGCCCCGUGCUAACCCGCUGGAUUUCCAUGCUGAAAUCCAAGGGAGAGUUUAAGCAGCCUAAGUGUUGGCUGGGCUCUCUCUAGCUGCUACUGCGCAGCUGUGCGCUGGCUCGGCUUGUGCCAGGUGAGCUGCGGGUGGGUCCCGCUGCUUGGGGCAGCCUCAUGGGUAGAGCUCUGCAAGACCAGGGCUGGUGGGUGCUCCACUUGCAGGGGAUGCGCUUCUCCAGCUCUGCUGGCUGCUUGGUGCCCCGUGAGGAGAACUUGGAAAUGCUGUGCCCUUCAGCUCACAAAGUUUCCUGGCUCUUGCAGUCUGAUUUUCCAGGAAAGGGUACAAUCUAAACCCUCCAAUGAUUUGGUUAGCUGUUUUUCUUAAAAUUAAGGGAUUCAAAAUAAUGCCAAAUUGCUACCCAUGCCCUGGAGGACUAGGAGGCAAGCCAAAAAUGUGUUGUCACAAUGCACAUUACCUGAAAUUUUCACUAAAUUAAAAAGGGCUGUGAAGAAGUGACUCCCAAACUAUUUUAAAAAGAGGUGUCUUGGUGUUGUUGGCAGUAAGCUCUGACUGGAUUCGCUACUUGGGCCUGAGGGACCAGGGCACGGACCAUCAGGGAAAACAUUUGUUACACAAUGUGCAUGUUUCUGCCACUUCAUACAGCAUACGUUAGGUUUUCCUGCCUCCUGUGAGCACUGACAGGACACAGCACGAAGACAAAGCGUGAGUCUGUUGUUCUUGAGGGGUUAAGCUCACUGAAGGAAAAGAGAAGGUCUGACCUGGAUGGAGCUCAUAACUGCUAAUCUCUGUCCUGUGGCUACUGUGAAAACCCCUAAAUCUGGUUGUUCCUAUUUGGAAGCAGCUGGCGCCCUGGUUCAGUCCCAGUGGGCUUCGCGAGUUUCAACACAGAAGAGUCUGCGGGUUGCUCUGAAUAACACAGUAUCUGAGCUCAGAAAGCAAAGCUGUUGCCUUUGCAGUUAGACCUGCUGAGCACCUUCAGCUACCAACUAGGCAAGCAGGUUGUGGCACACUUUACGUGGCCCAUGUGAAGGGCUGACCUCUCACUGAAAUUGCCGUUUGUCAGGCUGCUGCACUAGAAAUCUGUUAUCUUUUCUUAAAUAUUCAGCAAAAGCAGUGGAGGACGGGGUGACCUGGUAAAAAUGAG
ensembl:lncRNA